GACAGAGGGUGCAAACGUUGUUCGGAAUUACUGGGCGUAAAGCGCGUGUAGGCGGCCCUGCAAGUCGGAUGUGAAAUCCCACGGCUCAACCGUGGAAGUGCAUUCGAAACUGCAGGGCUAGAGUCCUGGAGAAGAAGGUGGAAUGCUUGGUGUAGAGGUGAAAUUCGUAGAUAUCGGGAGGAACACCGGUGGCGAAGGCGGCGACCUGGUUCGAUACUGACGCUCAGACACGACAGCAUGGGGAGCGAACGGG
rnacentral:rRNA from 1 species